AAAUAGAUACCCUGGUAGUCCACGCCGUAAACGAUGUUGACUUGGAGGUUGUUCCCUUGAGGAGUGGCUUCCGGAGCUAACGCGUUAAGUCGACCGCCUGGGGAGUACGGCCGCAAGGUUAAAACUCAAAUGAAUUGACGGGGGCCCGCACAAGCGGUGGAGCAUGUGGUUUAAUUCGAUGCAACGCGAAGAACCUUACCUACUCUUGACAUCCAGAGAACUUAGCAGAGAUGCUUUGGUGCCUUCGGGAACUCUGAGACAGGUGCUGCAUGGCUGUCGUCAGCUCGUGUUGUGAAAUGUUGGGUUAAGUCCCGCAACGAGCGCAACCCUUAUCCUUUGUUGCCAGCGGUUCGGCCGGGAACUCAAAGGAGACUGCCAGUGAUAAACUGGAGGAAGGUGGGGAUGACGUCAAGUCAUCAUGGCCCUUACGGAGUAGGGUUACCACACGUGCUACAAUGGCGUAUACAAAGAGAAGCGACCUCGCGAGAGCAAGCGGACCUCAUAAAGUACGUCGUAGUCCGGAUUGGAGU
rnacentral:rRNA from 1 species